UUGAAGUCGGGACUUUUGACCAUUUGAUUUUAUUUUGAGACACAAAUUAUAUAUGAAAUUGAUGGCAUUGAACACUUAGGGAAAAUUGGGACCACAAUUCAUAAAAUUGGGAUUAAAAAUCUUGUGCAAAAAGGGCCAUGUGGCCGUGUGAAUUUAAAGGGGUCCCCACAUUGUGUGGCCAAAUUUAAUUGGUCCAACACAUGUGUGGACCAUAGGGACAUGGAGAUAUUUUAGUGGGAACUUAAAAAUAUGACCUCUAAGUCAUUUCUCUUCAUUUCUACACUUAGAAUAAAAAUUAAGAAGGAGGAGAACAACAACUCCAACCUCACGGCUAAGAGGAGAGAAAAACAAGAUCAUUUUUUUGCUUUCCAAAAAUCAAUUCCUUGGUGUUAACCCACUAUAUUGAAGUCCCUAAGUAGCGUGGAAGAGUUGUUUGGGCCAUCCAACCACUAGUUGUGCCCAAUUGCAAACCCUAACUAUUGAAGGAAGUGAAGAACAAAGACCUUGGGGAGCCCGAGAGGUAAAUUUGGAGUAGCUUUAGAUUGGCUAGCUUGGGAGUGCGUUCGAGGUACAGACGCACAGUUCGGUGAUCCCCCAGUUUAGGAUAUCCCCUUCAGCUGUUUGGAGUGCUCUUCUCAUUUCAGAGCAUACACUUUUGGUAUAUACUUUUGUUCGUUAUGUAUGUAUAUAUAUUUGUUCCGGGUACGGCGGGGUCCUGUUCCGCCAUAUGAUUCGUUUGGUCUGUUUAGAGGUCUGUAGACUUAUUUGUGGGUGUGUGUGCCUACUACUGUACAGUUGUGUCCAUAUGAUCUCUUUCGUUAUGGCAGCCUUGUCGGCUCGCACAUGUAUAUGUUGUUCU